UACAGAGGUGGCAAGCGUUGCUCGGAAUCACUGGGCGUAAAGGGUGCGUAGGCGGGUCUUUAAGUCAGGGGUGAAAUCCUGGAGCUCAACUCCAGAACUGCCUUUGAUACUGAAGAUCUUGAGUUCGGGGGAGGUGAGUGGAACUGCGAGUGUAGAGGUGAAAUUCGUAGAUAUUCGCAAGAACACCAGUGGCGAAGGCGGCUCACUGGCCCGAUACUGACGCUGAGGCACGAAAGCGUGGGGAGCAAACAGG
rnacentral:rRNA from 1 species